UACAGAGGUCUCGAGCGUUGUUCGGAUUCAUUGGGCGUAAAGGGCGCGUAGGCGGCGGGGUAAGUCUGGUGUGAAAUCUCGGAGCUCAACUCCGAAAUUGCACUGGAUACUGCUCUGCUAGAGGGCUGGAGAGGAGAUCGGAAUUCACGGUGUAGCAGUGAAAUGCGUAGAUAUCUGGAGGAACACCAGUGGCGAAAGCGCGUGACUGGACCAUAACUGACGCUGAGGAACGAAAAGCCAGGGUAGCGAAAGGG
rnacentral:rRNA from 1 species